ensembl:lncRNA
UGGAGAGUUUGUUGUUAGUCACAAACACAAUGACUCCUGUGACCAGAGUAACAAUUAUAAACAUUAUGGCAAGAAAAAAAUAAAACAUGAGGGUACGAUGUGUUCCACCCUUUCUUUCCCCCAGCUGGAACUUUGUCAAGCAGCAUUGGAGGUCGGUUGGGCUUCGCCAGGGAUACAAGUUGGUUGAAUCCACACAUUAAUCUUAUCCAGAUAUGGAAGGUGGACUAUAUUGUCAAGAAUCUGAUUCCAAUUUGAUCUUCUCUACCUUGGUCUUGUUAAGUCACUCUGUUGUCCAGGCUGGACCCAAGCUAGUGAUCCUCCUGCUUCAGCGUCCCAGAGUGCUGGUAUUACAGGAUCUGGCACUUUGGGACUUCCAGAUCAUCACCAUUCAAAGUGACCAUGAAAGGUAAAUGUUUUGAAAUGACUCAGGACAUUGAGGUAGCCUGGAAAGCACAACUAUAUACACUCACAAAAGAGGACUUCCAGAACUUCUUCCAGAACUUCUUCAGAAAGUGGCAAGAAAGUUGGGAUAAAUGUGUUCUAAUUGAGGGAUUAAUGGCAAUGUGUCUUUUACUGUAAUAAAUGUUUUCAAGGAAACAUGUAAACAUUCAUUGUAUUUUUUGAUCAUACCUCAUAGAAACUCUGUGGCUUAUAAACAAUAUUAGCUCAUUUCCCACAAUUCUGGAUGUUUAGAAGUCUAAGAUGCAAGCUAUAGUAUAUUUGGUAUCUAGUGAGGGACAACUUUCUGGGUCAUAGGUAGUGGUUUUCUGAUGUGUCCUCACAAGGUAGAAAGGGGAACAGUUAUCUCAGGCCUCCUUCACAAGAGCACUGAUUCCAUUCAUGAGGGCAUCUUCAUGACUCCAUGUCUUCCAAAAGCCUCCACAUCUAAACACCAUUAGCUUGGGGGUUAAGAUUUCAACACAUGACAUUGGAAAUAAGGGACACUAUCCUUAAUAUUACAGUGGAUAGUGAUGUUUUUGCAAACCACAUUAUUUAGUGUCAAUUUGUAAAAUAAUAACAAUCUAAUGAGUGAAGAAUUUUUAAAAGCCAUCGGAAAAAAAAAGAAUUAAAAACAUCAUAACACAAUGAUAUAUGGACACCCAUGUUUAUAGGGGCACAGUAGUAGCUAAACCUUGGAAACAGCCCUAAUGCCCAUCAACCAGUGAAUGGAUAAAAAAAGAUUUUUUUUUUUAUAUAUACAACGGAGUAGUACUUAGCCAUAAAGAAAGACAAACUUGAGACAUUUAUAGCUAAAUGGAUGCAACUUGAGACUAUAUUCUUAAGUGAAAUAAAUUGGACAUAUAUGUGAAAAAAAGCCACCAGAAAUAGUGAUUUUGUUUAUUUUUUAAAAUCAUUCAAAUGAGGUGUCCAAAGGUGUUUGCUAAAUAAAAAAGACAAAAAAAAUAUGAUAAUGGAAGUAUUCAGUUUAGCUGAUUUAUUUGAACCCUAGAUUGGCAUGCCAAACCUUAGAUUCAGGUUUUCUUUUCCUUUUUUUUUUUUUUUUUGGUACCAGGGAUCAGACUCAGGAACUUGCACCUGUGCACUUGCAAGGCAGGAGGCGGAACCACUGAGCUAAAUCCCCGGCUCUGAUCCAGCUUUUUCUGAGAACAUGUUACCCCUCACUUUAUACGAAUCUGAUACUUCUGUGGACAUAAAGAAUAAAAUAACUGUUAAUAAAGUAUCUUUUAAUUAUGAAAAGGAUACGAUGCGAAAGAAGCAACACACUAUUUACAAAUAUUCUAAGACAUUGGCACUGAGAGGCAUACCACAGGAAGGUGCUAUAUUGGGUUUCAAAGAACUACAUAUUAAACAAUGAUGAAAUCUGUCUCUCCUUAGAGAGUUGUUACCAGCUGUGUUCAGCAAGUGGUGGAUUAUUUUAAGCUUUUAGGUUUCUUGACUGAAGUUGAAAAUAGCUUGAGAUUAUCAAGCAGAAAUCCUUGUCCUUCUCAUUGAAAUAUGCAAACCUAGAAGAUAUGUGAAAUUACAACAGCACUGUAAACAGGUGUAUUAGUCUAUGAUCUGGUAGACUUUUAGAUGAAUGCAAAUUAACUAAAAUACCCUGAAAAGACUUGGGGAAAAAUAAUGGCUCUGGGAAAUGUUUUUUCUUGUUAAUUUUUAUUGAAGUGAAAUUCAUGUCACAUACAAUCAAAUAUUUGAUAAUGUUUUGUCUCUGAUUAUAGCCAUUCUAACUGGGAGGACAUGAUAUCUCACUGUGGUUUUGAUUUGAAUUUUCCUGAUGAUUGAUUAUGUUAAACAUAUUCUUUUAUAUAUUUAUUGAACAUUGGUAUAUCUUCUUUUCAGAAAUGUCUUACUAUUAUUGGCUCAUGUUAAAAUCACACUACUUGUUUUCUUACUAUUGAGUGCUUUGUAUUCUGUAUGUGUUCUGUGUAUUAAUCCCUUGGUACAGGAAUACUCUAGUCUUGUGAGUGGUUUGUUUAUGUGCUGUGCUUUACAGGAGUGUCUUAGUUUUGUAUAGUUUUACAUAGUAUUAUAUAGUCUCACAUGUCUAGGUUUGCUUUUGUUGCUUGCACUUCUGGAAUAUUAUUCAAAGAACCACUAUCUAUAUCGGGGUCUUAAAGUGUCACUCUUGUUUUCUUGUAGUUUCAAACAGUGUUUUUUAACCACUUCUGCUCUGUUUUUCUCAGUUUACUUAGAAAUUAACUGGACAAUUGUAGGAGGAACUAUAAUUGCAGGAUGUUACUGAUAUAUCCUGCAAUGUGUAGGAUAGUCCACUACCAUAAAGAUUUAUUGAAGUUAGAUUCCAAUAAUACUUUUCUCACUGAGACACACUGUGAAUGAAGAUUUCAAAUUUCACAUUGGAUUGACCAAAAGAAAGUAUUUUCAAACUCUGUUAAAAUAGCUUUAAAUAGUACCUGAGAUUGUUUUGCAACCUUCUUUCCAAUCAAACUAAUUUUCCUUUGAAUAAGUAACUAAAAUGAGCCUAAUUCUUACCAAUAUACACAAAAGAAUGAUUUUCUGUAGUUAUAAAUUUAUAUUUUAUUAGAAAAAUUAGAGCUUAAUUACUCAAAACUGAUUGAUGUCAGCCUUGGCCUUCUAGAAAGCUAUACAUUGUUAGGAAAUAAACUCUGUAUUUAAUGGGCAUAGUGUCUUUCCAAAUUUCUAUAGAAACAUUAGUCAUAGAGACCAAAUAGAUUUUUUUUGUUAUCAUUUAUUAGAAGUAGAAUGUGAAUAGAGAAAGAGAAUAUUUCCCUUUCUUGAAGCCAUGUGCCUCCCAAAGUCUCUGGACUACAUAUAGUAGCCAUAAAUUGUCCAUAGGUUCUUGAGGUAAGGAGCUGUUCCUUCUUAGCCCUGUAAUAUAUGCCAUGAGAGUGACCAUUGUUGACUACCUACUACUACUGGGUUUUCCUGGAAAAGGAAGCUUUGAUAGACGCUCUCUAAACCCAGGACCCUCUAUUUCAGUUGCCCACAUGCCCUGUGACACAGCAUCUUACAGGCUCAGGAUGGCUGUAAAGUCUUCCUUGCUCCAAAAUGGAGCCAAACACACCCUCUGGCAUAUCUCAUCUGUGGAGUCAGCGGUCCCCUUUGUCCUCAGUCUCUUAAAGAUGACAUGGCACCAAGGAAACUUGCCUUUGCCCCUAGACCCCUUAUGCACCUGAACAGCCUCUUGAAAUUAACUGAGUGAACAGUCAUAUGCACUUGUUGGUUCUCCAUCAUAUAUGAUGGAGCUAUGGAAUAUUGCUGGUUUUCAUCCAUUAAGGAGAAUUUCCUUGAUAAUGGGUAGGACUCAGAGGCCUUAUAUGCCUGGCCGAACUCUAGACUGUAAUCAUAACACUGGCUCCUCUGGGCAGCAACUGGUCCCAUCAGUGCAUUUUAUGUAUCCAAUAUUCCCCUAGAUCACUCCUACAUCAAAUUCAAGAACUCUGAGAACCUCUUACCUCUCAGAUACCCAGAAUAUAAACCAAAGUAACAGAUAUAGCUAUGUUCUAAGGACACAAUAUGAGAUCUCACAGGGACACUCCUUUUCCCCUUCAGAGCCAGAUAUUACAUACAGUCACUAAGGUACUUAUUUUGCUUCUCAAAACACACAAUGCAGUGCUUUUAAAGAAGGACUCCUACCUCCUCUAUAGGCUCCAGGAAAUGCUUGACUAGAGAAAGAUAAUGAGAUCCUCCAAAAAUUCCUAUUUAAAUUACAAAAUUCCAAGUGGUUGCCCUGCUGCAUUUCUUAUUGCCACAGGCAUUGCUUAGAAACAGAUGCUCUUUUCAUCAGUGUUACACAAUUUUCUUAACUGUCUUAUACGGUCAAUGAGAGCAUCAUCUCUAAAGUUCACAUUUUGACAUCCACCUGCCCCCUGAGCCACCCAGAGGUGGUGAGUGUCUUCCAUACUGAAGUCACUGUUGCUUGUGGAUCAAUAAGAAUGAUUCAACAACUUAUAAGAAAAAUAAAAACCCAUAUAUGAGUAACACAAAAUGUUUCCCAAAUCCUAAAAAACAAAAAAAGCCAAGGCUAUGCUGCCAGAGGACUCAUAUAUUCUUUUCUGCAGUUUGCUAAACAAAUGGGGUCAGUAGCUUUUCAUGAGCUUGAAAAUCUAUUGCUCAUAAUUCUGACCAUUCUAAUCCUCUCUCAUCUUUAAAUAUUUAUUGUGAUUAAUUUAUUGUGUGUCUCAGAAGUCCUCUUUUUCAACCUCUCAAGAUAUUAGUCAUCAGCACGGUAUUUGAGUCAUCAAAUGUGUCAGUUGUAUUAUGAAUCCUAAAAUUUCAUGUGCCAUUAGACCAGUGCUCAAUCUAAUAGCUUUCACUUUGGUGUCAGGUACAAAAUUACUUAAAUUAGUCAUGCACAUCCUGCCGAGGGAACAAGGGGUCACUGAAUCUCCUGUUUACUGUGAGGUCUGCCUGCCACAUCCUCUACAUGUUCAUUCUGUUCCCAAGUGCAACUCCCAUGUAGACCUGCCUAGUGCUCUAUGUUACCCUCUCUUGGGCUUUGAGUAUUCAUGACCAAAAAUCUCCUGUUAAUUUAAUCUCUUUAAUUUUGUGUGUUGUGUGUUCAUCCACUCCCUUGAACCUUGAGGCUGAAUUUCCUCCUUCACCAACAGAGAAUAGAGGAGACCAACAAAAUAGGAUCUCACUGCCUUAAAAUCCCUCUCCUGUCUCUUAAUUAUAUAAUGCAUGCCAUUUUCCCCAUAGGUCUUUUGGUCUGUCCAUGCUGUGAAGCCAGAUGAGGUAUUGCAUCCUUCCUAAUCUCAGAGGAUGGUUGGGGAACACUAAAUCAUAAAAUUUCCAUAGUGAUGACAUAAUUUUAUCUUAUGCCUUCAAUCUUCUCUUCUUCCUCAACUUCAUGCUUGGUAGGUUGUACCUGAUAAUUUUUGCAGAUUGUUGGAAAGGUGAAAAAAAGUUUUUACUCAUGAUGCGGCUUCAGAAAACUCCAUGGAAAAAUUUUACUUGAAUAAUCAACUUUCUCUUUUUCCCAGAAAUUACCAACUCUUAGAGACAACUUUCUGUGUUCUGCAAAGAUAGUUUAGCUUUUCUCUUACUUUCCCUCAAACAAAUACAUUACGUGUACUUCUUGUGUAUAGUAAUUUUUUUUUGGUACCAGAGGUCAAACUCAGUUCCUUGAGCUUGAGAGGCUGGCGCCAGAACCGCUGAGCUAAAUCCCGGCCCCUUUUGUAUAGUAUUGAUUGACAGCCAGAUGUGGAAAAGUUCCUUGACUUUAAAUCAAUAUUCAUUAUAGAACAUGGUGUAAUCACAGAAACAAAUCUUUGGCUAGAAAGAUUUAUGAUUAAAUGAGUUAAUAGUAGCUAAUUGUACACUUUCUAUAGGGAAGAAUCUUCACAUGUGCUAUUUCAUUUCCUACUUAAAACAAAAGGAAAAUCCUAAAAUGACCCCUUUCUUCACUUUAUAUAUGACAAAAUUGAGGCCUAGCAAAGUUAAGUAACUCACUUCAAAGUUCUCAGUCAGAAGCAAAGCCAAGUCCAAAAGCAAGUUGUUUGAUUUCAGAUCUCAAAUACUUUAAUACUUUUACCAUAGAAUUUUCUGAAGUAACAUCAUGAAUAAAAACUUUUUAUCAUCUCCCAACAAUCUGCAAAAAUUAUCGAACACAACCUGCUGAGCAUUAAUACUCUCCCUUCAUUACAAUGACUAGUGGAAAGAAUGCUACAUAUGCUGUGUGGCAGUGCUUCUCUGUCGUUAAUGUAUACAUGAGUUACUAGGGCACCCUAUUGACAUGCAAGCCCACAGACACACUUUAACUAGCAAGGACAAGAGAUCAGAGAAUGGAAAUGAGAGUUUAGAAAGCAAUGCUGAGAUUCUCCUGCUGAUUUGGACACUGCUUCAACUCCUUGCUGGAAAAGAAUUGCACAUCAAAAGUUAAAAUCGAUAUAAAAUAGUGGUUUUAUUCUGGACAUUAUACUAGACACUAAAUAUAAAAAAUGUUCCAUUGUCUCUAAAUGUAAGGAACCUCUAGAGCAAUAGACUCUGAAUCCAAUGUGUUGUUUCCAUUCUGAUCAGAAUGCAUGAAUGUUAUCAAACAUAACUAACACCAUUUUCACAUAACUAACAGCAGCAUAUCUCCAUGGUAUGAUUUGUCCUGCUUCUGAAAAAUUACCUUCCUACAUUAUAAACACUAUCAAUGGUUAUAAUGUUUCAUUCUUUCAUCCAACUAUCCCUAAAUUCUAUUGAAAUAAAAACAUAAAACAUAAUCUUAACGUAUUAAUAUAUAUUUGUGAUGAAAUUGCAUUACUUUUCAUACUCUUACAAUUUUCUCCCAAUUUAUAGAAUAUGUUGGUUAAAAUAAUUAAUUUUAACCAUACAUCUCUAUUAUAAACUUCAUUAUAUGUCUGUGAGUCAUUAAAAAAUAUAUGCUGUUAUAAAAUUUGUAUUCUGGACAGUGUGGCUACUUCCUCUCUCUCAAUUUUAUUAAUUAGGCUACAAAUAUGAAUAAACCAGCUAGUGUAAUGGAUAAAAACUACCAUCAUCAUUAAGGAGAACAAGAAAUCUGUAAAAAUAAGAAUAAUCCAAAUUUAUCUAUUAAAACUGGAUCAUAAAACAGCCCCAAAAUACUAACUAAAAACAAAAUGAAAUAACAUGAACUAAAAAAAACAGUUCAAGUUAUUCACAUCUAUCUUAGAUACAAAUGUUAAUGAAAUACAAGUAUUCACAUACCAUAGGUAGCUUCAUAAUUCUGGAAACAAAAUCCAUUUUCCUGCAAGUGCAAGGUCCCGAGUUCGAUCCCCGGUACCAAAAAAAAAAAAAAAUCCAUUUUCCUAUCAAGUUCUAGAAAAAUCUAUCAUAUCAUAGAAUCUGAUGCUGAUAUGAAAAAAUAAGUACAAUAAUCAAAUCUGAAAGUGAAUACAAGUUCAGAGAAAUGUAUAGUGUAAGUGAACAAAAGUUCAUUGUUAAUCUUAUAGAAUUAGGCUUAUUUAUGUAUUUAUUAUUUAUUUAUUUUUGUUCAUGAAAAGAUUCAAGUCAACCUACACAACUACUUCAUAAGAAUUUCAUGUAAGGAAACUAUGGGAUAAAUAUUCAGAUAUACAUUGCUACAAAUGAUUACAUGACAUUAUGUAUUCUAUUGUAUCUAGCAGUACAUUUUCCAUUGAUUUAGAUACUGACUCCUAUCUUAUCAGCCUUGUUUCAGUAUUUACAAAAUUGAAUACUCAAUAAGCUCUGAUUAUAAUGAAUUUGGAUAUUGCUUAUUGACAUCUCAGUCAAACUGCAGUCAUACUUUUCAGUAGACCCCAUGAAUUGUUUUAAAGAAACCUAAUAUAUUUACUCACGUCUUUAUGUUCUCAGACAAUGGCAGUGAUACAUUUUGUAUGAGUGUGUGUGUGUGUGUGUGUGUGUGUGUGUAUUUUGUGGUUCCUUGCCCAGUUUCUGUGAUAUCUGAUGCUAGCAGAAGUUUAAUAUAAAUAACAUCUAACAAUGUUAGAAACCUUGACUUUUAUGUAUCUGUUAGGUGAUAGAAGGUAGAUAGAAAUUUGCAUUAUGAGAAUACAUAUGGUUUGACAGACUAUUCAUUUCACGCUUUUCUAACAGAGAUGAUACCCAAGAGUUAUGUUUAAAAGUCACCAAAAAUAGGACAUAUAUUUUAUGUUUUUAGAUGAAAAAAAUAACACUAAUCAGGUUACCUUUGGUCAAGAAUGGUAAAAAUACUAAUGACUAUCAAAAUUAAUUAAGACCAGAAGUUUGCAAUGAUUUAAACUGUAUAUUCUGUGUAUGCUUUAUUAUAGAAAUAUGAAUACACUUGAUAAAUGCAAUUUAAAAUCAGAGUGCUAUGUUAAAUCAUUCAGACAUCUGUAUGUCAAAAGGAUUACCUUUGUCUUUCUUUAUAGGGAGAAUUAAAUUUGUAUCCUUUAUAUAAAGCAUAUUUUAGAUUUUUAUGGGAAAAAUCUUCAGUAAUUAUGAGUAAUGGUAGAUAUGAUUUAGAAGAGAAAUCUCAAAAGUAUAAUGUAUUGGAGUUAUACAUUCUAUUCAGAGAUUAUGAAUGUUAAAACUCCUUUUAAGAUUUAAAAAAAUUGAUGAAAAAUAACUCAAAGUUUUCAUUGAGUUAACAUUGAUAGUUCUACAUGAUGAGAAAAAGAUGACCAAAAACAUCUUAAAUACGUAACAAAAGAAGUGAAAUUUUGUCAAGUGCAAUUUCAUCAAAGAGAAAUUUUUUUAAAAGUUUUUUUUUUUUUUGGUACUGGGGAUUGAACUUGGGACCUUGCACUUGUGAGGCAAGUGGUGGAACCACUGAGCUAAAUCCCCAGCCCAAAAGGUUUUUUGAUCUGAUUAAGAAUCUAUUUUAUUCUGGUAAAUACUUUCCAGUUAAAUGGGAAAGACUUGAAUUUUUAAAGGAAUAAACUGUUCACACAGUUUAACAGUUGAGUUUUGAUAUUCAUAGUGGUGCAUGUAAACUUGUAGCUGUAUAUGUUUGUAUACACUGUCAUGGAGUAUCUGCACAACAAUACAGGUUUUCACUAUCUAGAUUCUUUAGAAACUAGAUUGAUUUCUACAAAUGAGAACUGUAGGUACACUGUGUGUAUACAUGUGUGCGUGUGUGCAUAUGACAGACUGCGAGUUUUGCUGUGUCACAGCCAAUCUUUCAGACCUGCUUUCUCCAUGUGAUUGGAAACAUUUAAAAAAUGACAGUUCCUGCAACAAGUGUUAAACAAUUUUUUCAGAGAUGAGCUAAAUCUUUGUCUCAUUUGGUAUCUGUUCAGGAUUUGGGACCUAUCCUGGCUCAGGUUGCCACCAUAGGAUGGUUAAUGUGACUGGAGAAGGAGGGAAAUAUUUUGCCAUAGAGCAUUAGAAAAAGGAUGGUGUGCUGGCAGGCCAAAUAAUAACAGUAAAAAAGCUUUAUGUAUUUCAUACAUUAUAAGGGUUUUAUAAAAUUUUCCCUAGUUUUUCUUUAGGUGUUUAUAUGGUGUUAUUAUGUGUACAAUUUUUGCAUUUUAUAUAGCGUAGUGUAUCAUCCCUUUUUAUAUGGUUUCCCUUUGAAAUGAUUUUCUUUCAAAGUAAGAAAACACACAGACCUAAUUUUUCUCUCGUUUCAUUUUUGUCAUAUAACACUGGAAGUAAUUUCCAUAUAAAAUAUGGGAUUGUGAUCCAAUUUGUUCUUUUUAAUUCGCAAAUCCUUAACCAAUAUUCUAACACCACAAAUAGAACAGUUGUCUUUGUUUCACAGAUUUGAAAUAUUAUUUUGCUGUUACACUAAAUUCUUAAAUCUGUUUCUGUGCUUUCUAUUUACUUCCAUUUAUGUGUUAAUUCUUGUGUGGU